AUACAGAGGGUGCGAGCGUUAAUCGGAAUUACUGGGCGUAAAGCGCGCGUAGGCGGCUUAUUAAGUCAGAUGUGAAAUCCCCGGGCUCAACCUGGGAACUGCAUCUGAUACUGGUAAGCUAGAGUUUUGGAGAGGGGAGUAGAAUUUCAGGUGUAGCGGUGAAAUGCAUAGAGAUCUGAAGGAAUACCAGUGGCGAAGGCGACUUCCUGGCCAAAAACUGACGCUGAGGUGCGAAAGCGUGGGUAGCAAACGGGAUUAGAAACCCCAGUAGUCC
rnacentral:rRNA from 1 species